GAUGAACGCUGGCGGCGUGCCUAAUACAUGCAAGUCGAGCGAACAGACGAGGAGCUUGCUCCUCUGACGUUAGCGGCGGACGGGUGAGUAACACGUGGAUAACCUACCUAUAAGACUGGGAUAACUUCGGGAAACCGGAGCUAAUACCGGAUAAUAUAUUGAACCGCAUGGUUCAAUAGUGAAAGACGGUUUUGCUGUCACUUAUAGAUGGAUCCGCGCCGCAUUAGCUAGUUGGUAAGGUAACGGCUUACCAAGGCAACGAUGCGUAGCCGACCUGAGAGGGGGAUCGGCCACACUGGAACUGAGACACGGUCCAGACUCCUAGGGGAGGCAGCAGUAGGGAAUCUUCCGCAAUGGGCGAAAGCUUGACGGAGCAACGCCGGGGGAGUGAUGAAGGUCUUCGGAUCGUAAAACUCUUUUAUUAGGGAAGAACAAAUGUGUAAGUAACUAUGCACGUUUGGACGGUACCUAAGCAGAAAGCCACGGCUAACUACGG
rnacentral:rRNA from 1 species